AUUGAACGCUGGCGGCAUGCCUUACACAUGCAAGUCGAACGGCAGCACGGGAGCAAUCCUGGUGGCGAGUGGCGAACGGGUGAGUAAUACAUCGGAACGUGCCCAAUCGUGGGGGAUAACGCAGCGAAAGCUGUGCUAAUACCGCAUACGAUCUACGGAUGAAAGCAGGGGAUCGCAAGACCUUGCGCGAAUGGAGCGGCCGAUGGCAGAUUAGGUAGUUGGUGAGGUAAAGGCUCACCAAGCCGUCGAUCUGUAGCUGGUCUGAGAGGACGACCAGCCACACUGGGACUGAGACACGGCCCAGACUCCUACGGGGGGCAGCAGUGGGGAAUAUUGCGCAAUGGGGGGAACCCUGACGCAGCCAUGCCGCGUGAAUGAAGAAGGCCUUAGGGUUGUAAAGUUCUUUCGGUAUUGAGGAAGGUUGAUGUGUUAAUAGCACAUCAAAUUGACGUUAAAUACAGAAGAAGCACCGGCUAACUCCGUGCCAGCAGCCGCGGUAAUACGGAGGGUGCGAGCGUUAAUCGGAAUAACUGGGCGUAAAGGGCACGCAGGCGGUUAUUUAAGUGAGGUGUGAAAGCCCCGGGCUUAACCUGGGAAUUGCAUUUCAGACUGGGAGUCUAGAGUACUUUAGGGAGGGGUAGAAUUCCACGUGUAGCGGUGAAAUGCGUAGAGAUGUGGAGGAAUACCGAAGGCGAAGGCAGCCCUUUGGGAAUGUACUGACGCUCAUGUGCGAAAGCGUGGGGAGCAAACAGG
rnacentral:rRNA from 1 species